rnacentral:tRNA from 5 species
CGGAUUAGAGCCAGGGUGGUUGAGGCGUCUCGUUUGGGACGGGAUUUUUUUGGGUUCAAAUCCUGAUAAUCCGA